GCGAUCAUACCAGCACUAAUGCACCGGAUCCCAUCAGAACUCCGAAGUUAAGCGUGCUUGGGCGAGAGCAGUACUAGGAUGGGUUGCGAAGUCCUCGUGUUGCACCU
rnacentral:rRNA from 1 species